UAGGGAAUCUUCGGCAAUGGACGAAAGUCUGACCGAGCAACGCCGCGUGAGUGAAGAAGGUUUUCGGAUCGUAAAACUCUGUUGUUAGAGAAGAACAAGGAUGAGAGUAGAAUGUUCAUCCCUUGACGGUAUCUAACCAGAAAGCCACGGCUAACUACGUGCCAGCAGCCGCGGUAAUACGUAGGUGGCAAGCGUUGUCCGGAUUUAUUGGGCGUAAAGCGAGCGCAGGCGGUUUCUUAAGUCUGAUGUGAAAGCCCCCGGCUCAACCGGGGAGUGUCAUUGGAAACUGGGAAACUUGAGUGCAGAAGAGGAGAGUGGAAUUCCAUGUGUAGCGGUGAAAUGCGUAGAUAUAUGGAGGAACACCAGUGGCGAAGGCGGCUCUCUGGUCUGUAACUGACGCUGAGGCUCGAAAGCGUGGGGAGCAAACAGG
rnacentral:rRNA from 1 species